CAAUGAUGCAGAAGGUCAGUGAUGGUAAUGCAAGGAGUCAUUUGAGGAAUCUGAAGAGAGGACAGAAAUGUGAUGACAACUAUUAGAUACCUGACCUGCUCUAGGAUUACAAGAGCCCAUGUUCCUGUUACGUGACAGAGGUCAGAAUUUACUGGCGUCAGCGGUAGCUGCUACAGAGAGCAAAGCACUGAGCCCGUGUUUGGACUCUAAAAUUCAUCUGCAAGUUUGACUAGGGAGCUGAAUGGAUUAUUCAAAACAUGUAUGUUUGCAGCCUCAAAGAGGAUUGUUUUGAUUCCAUUUAUUAGAACAAUAGCGAGAGCAGCAUCCAAAUGUACUCACUGUGACUGCCCAUAAUGCUUUUAUGCAUAUGCAUGGACACAGUCUUGUGUUGUCACGUGGAC
rnacentral:lncRNA from 1 species